GUACACUCCUACGGGAGGCAGCAGUGGGGAAUAUUGGACAAUGGGCGCAAGCCUGAUCCAGCCAUGCCGCGUGAGUGAUGAAGGCCCUAGGGUUGUAAAGCUCUUUCACCGGUGAAGAUAAUGACGGUAACCGGAGAAGAAGCCCCGGCUAACUUCGUGCCAGCAGCCGCGGUAAUACGAAGGGGGCUAGCGUUGUUCGGAUUUACUGGGCGUAAAGCGCACGUAGGUGGACUAUUAAGUCAGGGGUGAAAUCCCGGGGCUCAACCCCGGAACUGCCUUUGAUACUGGUAGUCUUGAGUUCGAGAGAGGUGAGUGGAAUUCCGAGUGUAGAGGUGAAAUUCGUAGAUAUUCGGAGGAACACCAGUGGCGAAGGCGGCUCACUGGCUCGAUACUGACGCUGAGGUGCGAAAGCGUGGGGAGCAAACAGGAUUAGAAACCCUUGUAGUCCCAUGA
rnacentral:rRNA from 1 species